CCUCAGCACUGGAGCUCCCCAGGGUUGUGUCCUGAGCCUCCUGCUGUACAGUAAGUACACAUAUGACUGUGUGGCCACUGAUGUUGCGUUUAAUAUUUUGUAAACACACCAAACUUCAUUUGUUUAUAGUUGCUUUAAAUGGAUACAGUUAAAGAAAAUUCAAUACUACUUUUGCAAAAUUGGCAAAUGUUUUCCUCAAUAUCAAAUUUUAAUCUAUGGAAAUGCUCAGAAUCAAAUCAGGUUUAUUGGCCAAGUGUAUUAACACACAAGGAAUUUGGUUCCAGCUGUUAGUGACUCUCAAAGUACAUACAUAAAUAACACUAUGCACUUUGAAUGUGUAAAUGUCAUUAUUCUAUAUUUUAAAUAGAAUCUCUUUGACUUCUGGGAAAACUGAAAAAGAGAGGUAACUCCUUCUUAUCUCUUAAUUCCCUUGAAUAAAAAUGUGUAAAGAUAUAAUGACAACUAUACAUGUUACGUUUCUGAUCAUAAAAUACAAUAAGUACCCAAACCCAGAGAUGGAAGUGAGAAUGUCUCAGAAUCAUGAGAAAAGAUUCCUUUAAGCAAUAAUAACAUGCUUUUAGAAAUGGCAUUUAUAAAUCACAUUUGAUCAAGAAUUCAAGACUGCAAACCAUAUACGUUUUGUGUUACAAAGAAGUGAAAGAGUUUUGAAACCAUUGUUCAUUAUUUCUAAGUCCAUAACAUUCAGACCCCUUUCUUCAUUGUUUGCAAACCAAACCAUUUUGUUCAUGUAGUGAUGCUUAUUUUUCCAAAUCAAGAUGAAGAUGGCACUAUUAUAUUCCUUUAAUAAACGAGGGGGGAUAGUUAGUGAAAGGCAGAGUAGACAAAUCCAGAGCACUCCAUUUUGGUUAAAAAAUUCUUCCAGAUGUUGAGACAUGGAUAUUGCAUAAAGAGUCUAAUUGCGUGCCAUGAAACGCAAUCAAUUCACAUUUGUUUAAAUUCAAGCGUUAACCACACUUAAAAAAAUGUUUUUUUAGAGUUAAAUGUCUGUAUUUUUUGAUAGAAAUUUACCUUUUUUAGAAAUUAACAACAAAAUGCCUGUUGUUUUACAUAUAUUUUCUGUAUUUUAACAUUCCGUCAUUAAAUUUAUCAAAAAUUAAUUGUAUUUUGAUAUUAUAGAAAUCUUUUAAAAGAAGUAAGCUGUAUUUUCACAGAGUAAUUUGUAUUUUUACAUAGAAUGAUAUCUAAUAUUUACAGAUUAUUCUUGUAAUCAUUAAAUCAGUGUUUUUAUUACUAUUGAAGACAGUUAAUCAUAUGAAGGUUAAAGCGAAGUUAUUAAUGUCAAAUAAUAGUAUUUUUACAUACAGUAAAAUUAUGCAUUGUUUCUCUUACUGCUCCUAUUAACAAUUAUUUGGCAUUAUAUUAUUUUCCCAUAGGUCCUAACUACAUAUAUCAUUCAUAAAGACAUGAUAUGUCUGUUUUUCACCCUAAAUUAUUAUAAAUUAAAAUGGGGUAUUUGCCCAUGUUCCAGUAAACAAAAUGUUAAUAAUCUAAUUUAAUUUUUGUGGUUUAUAUUUUUUCAGUAACAAUUCCUACAAUAUCCAAAAAUCUAAUCAAAUAUAAUACAAUAUAAUGUUAAAAAAAUUACACAGAACUCAAAUCUGAAAUACUACAAACUUUUUUUUUUUUUUAUUAAAAAUAAGGGUCUAGUGUGGAAAGUUCCUAUGUUUUUUUUAUUUUUUAACUGAAAAAAACCUUACAUGUUAACAGCAAAGUACUCAAAAUAAUUAGCUUCUUUAAAAAAAAAUCAGCAAAUGAAUAAAAGCAAUAAAAUAUUAAGGAUCCGCGCGCGCGCGCAUACUGACACAAAUUUAAAAUUGGCGCCGAAUUAGCUCCGACCACAACGGUUAGAAUUAGUUCCAGGCUGUUCCUCUGGGAAAUGAUUAAGAUAAUAACGCGCUUUUUCACUAAACAUCGCAAACUACAAUAAUCUGAGGAUACAACAGAAGACAUCAAGCUGACUAAGGUCGUGUGGAAAAACUGUGGAGCUCUACAGCAGAAAAACAUGCUAAAGGUGUGUAGCAAAAAGCAACUUUUUUUGGUGGUGUUAUUAUUUGUAGUAGUACAGGUAGUCGUCGACUUACGAUCAUUCGACUUUACGACCACAAGCCGCGGCGUACGACAGUGUGUACCAGCUUCCGGCUGCAAUACCAUCUCCGCGAUUUUGAAAGAUAAAGAAAGAAUUUGUGAAUCAAAAUGGCGUAGAGAUGAUCCAAAUACUACUUAAAGAUUUUUAUAACAUCAUUUCGCAGUACUGUACAUAUAGCCUACUCUACUUACGACCAAAUCUGUCGGAACCAAUCGUGGUCGUAAGUCGACGACUACCUGUAGUUUAAUCUUUAUGCAUGGGUCAUGAGGGUGAGGGCUUAGAGUAGGGAUGUUCUUCAGAAAAAAAAUUCCAUCAACUUUUGCAUAUUUUAAACACUUUCCAGCAGUGACUGUAUGAUUUUUAAAAUCAAUCUUUUCACACUGAGGACAAUUAAGUGACUCAAACGCAACUGUAAAAAAGUGCAAACAUUCACUGAUGCAACAGAAACAUGAUGUCAAGAGUUUUCUUGUUUUAUUAAAAUUUAU